rnacentral:tRNA from 1 species
UGAGGAUGUAGCUCAGUUUGUAGAGUGCUUGCCUUGCAUGCAAAAGGCACUGGGUUCAGUCCCCAGGACCACAA